UACAGAGGUGGCAAGCGUUGUUCGGAAUUACUGGGCGUAAAGGGCGCGUAGGCGGUUUCGUAAGUCCUGUGUGAAAUCCCCCGGCUCAACUGGGGAACUGCACAGGAAACUGCGAGGCUUGAGUUCGGGAGAGGGAAGCGGAAUUCCGGGUGUAGCGGUGAAAUGCGUAGAUAUCCGGAGGAACACCGGUGGCGAAGGCGGCUUCCUGGACCGACACUGACGCUGAGGCGCGAAAGCUAGGGGAGCAAACGGG
rnacentral:rRNA from 1 species